rnacentral:tRNA from 1 species
GGAAUUGUGGCUCAAGCCGUAGAGCGCUCGUCUAGCACGUGCGAGGCCCUGGGUUCGAUCCUCAGCACCA